AAGUGGUUAUGUUCAUGCGGCCGUCGAGCUUAUACCUCCGCUCACCCUUGCCACUGGAUCAGCCAUAUCACAAGUCGGAUCACGCUUGGUCAUCUGCUUCGGCUGUCGUUCCAACUAUGAAGAUGGGAAAUAUAAGUCAGAGAAGCUUUAUCAGGCUUGCAACAACCGGAAGACGCAGGACACCAGGUCAACCAAACAUUAGACUAAGAUGGAAAAUCGGGCAUCACAUGUGUUGCGCGGCUCUGUGGUCUUCUAAAACCGGGAAUUCCAGCUCUGCGAUGGUUUUCAGGUUUCCUAAUGACAGCUGGCUUUCACUCGGUCGUCGCCGGAAUUCUUCUGACACUGGAGAUGGCAGGCCCUUUUCACGACGUUCCCUCUAGCUGGCGCGUUUCGGCGGGGCUGCUGUAAUUUCUGCGAAUUUAUCGGCUGCACGUCUCUAGGGCCGACUAUAUAUAUUUAGUGGUGGCCUGUGGCCACUACGGAAAGCCUGGUUUAUCUGUGGCGCGCAGCCAGCCUUCCGGCUUCCGGUUUCCUUCCCGGCUUGAUCUCUCCUAUGUCUCCUUCACAUGUGUCGUGUGCGUGUCUCUGAACUUGGGUGAUAUAUGGCAGCCCGAAAUCCGGUAAUUAAUAGCAUUUAAUGAGCAUCUAGGAAAUAAGAGAAUAACUAUGUCGGCGUCAGCCUUGUACUUGUUUUGUGCACACCCCGUGCUUUUCAACUUCGGCAGUUAUGAGACUCCUUCAACCAUGACAUUACAACCCUUUGCUGUGAACUUACCACUGCAACCCCUACACAUACAUAUAUCAUGAAUAGUGCCUGUAUUGAAAACAAACAGUUUCUAACUUGAAGUUAUAGAAAUUAUUUGUGUGUUUCCAAAGAACAAAUUUAUAUAGAAUGUAAUAUUUCCGUGAAAAAAAAAGAAAACAAAACAAAUAUAGAAUUUUUAGCAGCAUGGAAUUGAAUUCAAACGCAAGAAUGCAACCUGGUGGAAGUAAAUUUACGACAUUGUGCACGGUAAAUUCAAUCUCAACUGGCCCCAUCAAGUAACAAAUAUCUGGAAGAGCUCUAGAAGAGUA